rnacentral:rRNA from 1 species
UACGUAGGGUGCGAGCGUUGUCCGGAAUUAUUGGGCGUAAAGGGCUCGUAGGCGGUUUGUCGCGUCGGGAGUGAAAACCCAGGGCUUAACUCUGGGCCGGCUUUCGAUACGGGCAGACUAGAGGCAUGCAGGGGAGAACGGAAUUCCUGGUGUAGCGGUGAAAUGCGCAGAUAUCAGGAGGAACACCGGUGGCGAAGGCGGUUCUCUGGGCAUGUCCUGAUGCUGAGGAGCGAAAGUGUGGGGAGCGAACAGG